GACGAACGUUGGCGGCGUGCCUAAUACAUGCAAGUCAACUGAAGCAAGGUAGCAAUAUCUUGUGGAGGCGGCGCACGGGUGAGUAACACGUAGGUAAUCUGCCUUCAGGUCUGACAUAACUCCGGGAAACCGGAGCUAAUAGCAGAUGAUGCAGCGGCUUGACAUCAAGACAGUUGUUAAAAGCUUCGGCGCCUGAAGAUGAGCCUGCGUCUGAUUAGCUAGUUGGCGGAGUAAUAGCCCACCAAGGCGACGAUCAGUAACUGGUCUGAGAGGAUGAUCAGUCACACUGGAACUGAGACACGGUCCAGACUCCUACGGGAGGCAGCAGUAAGGAAUAUUGCUCAAUGGGGAACCCUGAAGCAGCAACGCCGCGUGAGGG
rnacentral:rRNA from 1 species